rnacentral:rRNA from 1 species
AAAAGAACCCCGGGAGGGGAGUGAAAUAGAUCCUGAAACCGCAUACAUACAAACAGUAGGAGCCUCGUUAAGGGGUGACUGCGUACCUUUUGCAUAAUGGGUCAGCGACUUACGUUUAAUGGCGAGCUUAACCGUAUAGGGGAGGCGCAGCGAAAGCGAGUUCGAACAGAGCGUUCAGUCGUUAGGCGUAGACCCGAAACCAGAUGAUCUAUCCAUGGCCAGGUUGAAGGUGUGGUAACACACACUGGAGGACCGAACCGACUAGUGUUGCAAAAUUAGCGGAUGAGCUGUGGAUAGGGGUGAAAGGCUAAACAAAUCUGGAGAUAGCUGGUUCUCCCCGAAAACUAUUGAGGUAGUGCCUCGUGUAUGACUCCAGGGGGUAGAGCACUGUUAUGGCUAGGGGGACAUGGCGUCUUACCAAACCAUGGCAAACUCCGAAUACUUGGAAGUUUGAGCACGGGAGACAGAGCACCGGGUGCUAACGUCCGGACUCAAGAGGGAAACAACCCAGACCGCCGGCUAAGGUCCCUAAUAUUGACUAAGUGGAAAACGAAGUGGAAAGGCUAAGACAGUCAGGAAGUUGGCUUAGAAGCAGCCAUCCUUCAAAGAAAGCGUAAUAGCUCACUGAUCGAGUCUUUCUGCGCGGAAGAUGUAACGGGGCUAAGUCAAUAACCGAAGCCGCGGAUUCACACUUAUGUGUGAGUGGUAGGGGAGCGUUCUGUAAGCCUGCGAAGGUGACUCGUAAGGGUUGCUGGAGGUAUCAGAAGUGCGAAUGCUGACAUGAGUAACGUUAAAGCGGGUGAAAAGCCCGCUCGCCGUAAGCCCAAGGUUUCCUGCUCUACGUUCAUCGGAGCAGGGUGAGUCGGCCCCUAAGGUGAGGCUGAGAAGCGUAACUGAUGGGAACAAGGUUAAUAUUCCUUGACCACCGCUGAAUGCGAAGGGGGGACGGAGUAUUGAAGAUCAUCCGGGUGUUGGAUAUCCCGGUUUGCGAGCGUAGGAGGCUGACAGGCAAAUCCGUCAGCGAAUCUCCGAGGCAAAGCAUCGAGCUCUCUUUUGAGCGAAGUGAUUGGAUGUGCUUCCAGGAAAAGCCUCUAAGCUCCAGUUCAGCGGGACCGUACCGCAAACCGACACUGGUGGGCGAGCUGAAUAUGCUCAGGCGCUUGAGAGAACUCAGGAGAAGGAACUCGGCAAAUUGACACCGUAACUUCGGGAUAAGGUGUGCCUUUGUAGCGUGGAGGGAGAAACACCCCGAGCGCGAAGAGGUCUCAGAUAAUCGGUGGCUGCGACUGUUUAUUAAAAACACAGCACUCUGCAAAGACGAAAGUCGACGUAUAGGGUGUGAUGCCUGCCCGGUGCUGGAAGAUUAAUUGAUGGGGUGCAAGCUCCUGAUCGAAGUCCCAGUAAACGGCGGCCGUAACUAUAACGGUCCUAAGGUAGCGAAAUUCCUUGUCGGGCAAGUUCCGACCUGCACGAAUGGUGUAACCAUGGCCACGCUGUCUCCACCCGGGACCCAGUGAAACCGAAAUCGCUGUGAAGAUGCAGUGUACCCGCGGCUAGACGGAAAGACCCCGUGAACCUUUACUGCAGCUUGACACUGAACCUUGAACCUGUUUGUGCAGGAUAGGCGGGAGACUUUGAAGUAGAGACGCCAGUCUUUAUGGAGUCGACCUUGAAAUACCGCCCUGAUAUGUUUGAGGUUCUAACUUGAAGGUAACAGCCUUAAGGACAGUGUCUGGUGGGAAGUUUGACUGGGGCGGUCUCCUCCCAAAGAGUAACGGAGGAGCACGAAGGUCGGCUGAUCACGGUCGGAAACCGUGAGGUCAGUGCAAUGGCAAAAGCCGGCUUGACUGCGAGAGCAACAACUCGAGCAGGUGCGAAAGCAGGUCAUAGUGAUCCGGUGGUUCCAUAUGGACGGGCCAUCGCUCAACGGAUAAAAGGUACUCUGGGGAUAACAGGCUGAUACCGCCCAAGAGUUCAUAUCGACGGCGGUGUUUGGCAC